rnacentral:pre_miRNA from 1 species
AGAGGAAUAGCUGGGUCAAAUGGUGGUUCCAUUCUCAAUUUUCCAAGUAAUCUCUAUACUGCUUUCUGUAAUGGCUACACCAGUUUGCAGUCCCAGCAGCAGU